CCUACGGGAGGCAGCAGUGGGGAAUAUUGCACAAUGGGGGAAACCCUGAUGCAGCAACGCCGCGUGAACGAUGAAGGCCUUUGGGUCGUAAAGUUCUGUUCUAGGUGAUGAAAACUGACAGUAACCUAGGAGAAAGCCCCGGCUAACUCCGUGCCAGCAGCCGCGGUAAUACGGAGGGGGCAAGCGUUAUCCGGAAUUAUUGGGCGUAAAGGGUACGUAGGUGGCCUUUUAAGCGUAGGGUAUAAGGCAAUGGCUCAACCAUUGUUCGCCCUAUGAACUGGAAGGCUUGAGUGCAGGAGAGGAAAGCGGAAUUCCUAGUGUAGCGGUGGAAUGCAUAGAUAUUAGGAGGAACAUCAGCGGCGAAGGCGGCUUUCUGGACUGCAACUGACACUGAGGUACGAAAGCGUGGGGAGCAAACAGGAUUAGAUACCCCAGUAGUC
rnacentral:rRNA from 1 species